CGCAAUGGGCGAAAGCCUGACAGAGCAAUACCGCGUGAGGGAUGAAGACUUACUGAGUUGUAAACCUCGGUGCCUUAAGGAAGAAGAUCUGACGGUACUUAAGGUGGAAAGCAUCGGCUAACUCCGUGCCAGCAGCCGCGGUAAGACGGGGGAUGCAAGUGUUAUCCGGAUUUACUGGGCGUAAAGCGUCUGCAGGUGGUUUCUUAAGUCUACUGUUAAAUCUUGAGGCUCAACCUCAAAUCUGCAGUAGAAACUAGGAGACUUGAGUAUAGUAGGGGUAGAGGGAAUUUCCAGUGGAGCGGUGAAAUGCGUAGAUAUUGGAAAUAACACCGAUGCCGAAGGCGGUGUAUUGAAUUUAGCGGCCCCGUCAGAGCCGAAAGCUA
rnacentral:rRNA from 1 species